ACCUCUAAGACGAGGAUAACGACUGGAACGGUACGCUAAAACUGGAUAGGAUCAUUUGAGGCAUCUCGAAUGAGUUUAAAGGGCGUUUCAAGCCACACUUAGAGAAAGGCCUGCGGCGCAUUAGCUAGUUGGUGGGGUAGGAGGCCUACCAAGGCGAUGAUGCGUAGCCCGGACUGAGAGGUCGAACGGCCACAUUGGGACUGAGACACGGCCCAAACUCCUACGGGAGGCAGCAGUAGGGAAUUUUCGGCAAUGGGGGAAACCCUGACCGAGCAACGCCGCGUGAAUGAAGAACCGUAUUUCGGUAUGUAAAGUUCUUUUAUUAAGGAGGAAUAUCACGGAUAGGAAAUGAUCUGUGAGUGGCGGUACUUAAUGAAUAAGCCCCGGCUAACUAUGUGCCAGCAGCAGC
rnacentral:rRNA from 1 species